GGUGGCUCAGUGGCAGAGCGCUUGCCUUGCAUGCAUGAGGCCCUGGGUUUGAUUCCCCAGCACCA
rfam:Dipodomys ordii contig_17855, whole genome shotgun sequence.